UACGUAGGGUGCAAGCGUUGUCCGGAAUCAUUGGGCGGAAAGCGCGCGUAGGUGGCUUCGUAAGUCCGUUGUGAAAGUCAAAGGCUCAACCUUUGAAAGCCGAUGGAUACUGCGGAGCUAGAGUACGGAAGAGGCGAGUGGAAUUCCUGGUGUAGCGGUGGAAUGCGCAGAUAUCAGGAGGAACACCAAUAGCGAAGGCAGCUCGCUGGGACGUUACUGACACUAAGGCGCGAAAGCGUGGGGAGCGAACAGG
rnacentral:rRNA from 1 species